GCGCCGGUAGCGCAAGUGAUACAGCGCGAGCUCGCGGAAAGGGUGAAGUGAGGGUUCGAGUCCCGCCUGACGUCA